UACGGGGGGGGCAAGCGUUGUUCGGAAUUACUGGGCGUAAAGGGCUCGUAGGUGGCCAACUAAGUCAGACGUGAAAUCCCUCGGCUUAACCGGGGAACUGCGUCUGAUACUGGAUGGCUUGAGUUCGGGAGAGGGAUGCGGAAUUCCAGGUGUAGCGGUGAAAUGCGUAGAUAUCUGGAGGAACACCGGUGGCGAAGGCGGCAUCCUGGACCGACACCGACGCUGAGGAGCGAAAGCCAGGGGAGCAAACGGG
rnacentral:rRNA from 1 species